AAUCAAUCCAUAUAAAUCGAGUAAUCAACUUGGCUUAUGAAUUUUUUAAAACUUUGGCUUGUGCCAAAACUCAUACUCGGUGAUACCUUGCGCAGGGCAUCCAACCGAGUCCGCCAAGGCUGUUAAAAUUUUUGUAUACACUUAAAAUAUAUUUUUAGUUUGAGAAAAAUACAGCCGUUCCUUGGCGUUGGCUGAGUUCCCCUUCACGUGGUGGUUUGGCGUGAAGUGAACCCUAAGCUUUACCCUAGGAGAUACCCUACGCGCCUCUCCGUUCGAGGAAAGAAUAUAAUGGAGUUUACCGUGCCCCUCUAAUAGGCUGGUCCACGGAAGCC
rnacentral:lncRNA from 1 species